rnacentral:rRNA from 1 species
CACGUAGGGUGCGAGCGUUGUCCGGAAUUAUUGGGCGUAAAGAGCUCGUAGGCGGUGUGUCGCGUCGGCCGUGAAAACCUGCGGCUUAACUGUGGGCUUGCGGUCGAUACGGGCAUCACUGGAGUUCGGCAGGGGAGACUGGAAUUCCUGGUGUAGCGGUGAAAUGCGCAGAUAUCAGGAGGAACACCGGUGGCGAAGGCGGGUCUCUGGGCCGAUACUGACGCUGAGGAGCGAAAGCGUGGGGAGCGAACAGG